AGUGAACGCUGGCGGUAGGCCUAACACAUGCAAGUCGAACGGCAGCACAGUAAGAGCUUGCUCUUACGGGUGGCGAGUGGCGGACGGGUGAGGAAUACAUCGGAAUCUACUUUUUCGUGGGGGAUAACGUAGGGAAACUUACGCUAAUACCGCAUACGACCUACGGGUGAAAGCAGGGGAUCUUCGGACCUUGCGCGAUUGAAUGAGCCGAUGUCGGAUUAGCUAGUUGGCGGGGUAAAGGCCCACCAAGGCGUCGAUCCGUAGCUGGUCUGAGAGGAUGCUCAGACACACUAGAACUGAGACACGGUCCAGACUCCUACGGGAGGCACCAGUGGGGAAUAUUGGACAAUGGGCGCAAGCCUGAUCCAGCCAUACCGCUUGGGUGAAGAAGGCCUUCGGGUUGUAAAGCCCUUUUGUUGGGAAAGAAAAGCAGCAGGUUAAUACCCCGCUGUUCUGACGGUACCCAAAGAAUAAGCACCGGCUAACUUCGUG
rnacentral:rRNA from 1 species